rnacentral:rRNA from 1 species
CCUACGGGCGGCUGCAGUGGGGAAUAUUGCGCAAUGGGCGAAAGCCUGACGCAGCGACGCCGCGUGAGGGAUGAAGGUCUUCGGAUCGUAAACCUCUGUCAGCAGGGAAGAACGGUCACUGUGCUAAUCAGCAGUGAAUUGACGGUACCUGCAAAGGAAGCACCGGCUAACUCCGUGCCAGCAGCCGCGGUAAUACGGAGGGUGCGAGCGUUAAUCGGAAUUAAUGGGCGUAAAGCGCUUGUAGGCGGUAUGUCAAGUCAAGGGUGAAAUCCCCGCGCUCAACGUGGGAACUGCCUUUGAAACUGGCAAACUGGAGUGUGGGAGAGGAUAGUGGAAUUCCAGGUGGAGGAGUGAAAUCCGUAGAUAUCUGGAGGAACAUCAGUGGCGAAGGCGACUAUCUGGCACAUAACUGACGCUGAGGAGCGAAAGCGUGGGUAGCAAACAGGAUUAGAUACCCGUGUAGUC